GGGUUGUGAGGUUAAGCGACUAAGCGUACACGGUGGAUGCCCUGGCAGUCAGAGGCGAUGAAGGGCGUGCUAAUCUGCGAUAAGCGCCGGUAAGGUGAUAUGAACCGUUAUAACCGGCGAUACCCGAAUGGGGAAACCCAGUGUGAUUCGUCACACUAUCAUUAACUGAAUCCAUAGGUUAAUGAGGCGAACCGGGGGAACUGAAACAUCUAAGUACCCCGAGGAAAAGAAAUCAACCGAGAUUCCCCCAGUAGCGGCGAGCGAACGGGGAGGAGCCCAGAGCCUGAAUCAGCAUGUGUGUUAGUGGAAGCGUCUGGAAAGUCGCGCGAUACAGGGUGACAGCCCCGUACACAAAAGCGCAUGUGUUGUGAGCUCGAUGAGUAGGGCGGGACACGUGGUAUCCUGUCUGAAUAUGGGGGGACCAUCCUCCAAGGCUAAAUACUCCUGACUGACCGAUAGUGAACCAGUACCGUGAGGGAAAGGCGAAAAGAACCCCGGCGAGGGGAGUGAAAAAGAACCUGAAACCGUGUACGUACAAGCAGUGGGAGCACAGGUUUACCUGUGUGACUGCGUACCUUUUGUAUAAUGGGUCAGCGACUUAUAUUCUGUAGCAAGGUUAACCGUAUAGGGGAGCCGGAGGGAAACCGAGUCUUAAUUGGGCGUUAAGUUGCAGGGUAUAGACCCGAAACCCGGUGAUCUAGCCAUGGGCAGGUUGAAGGUUGGGUAACACUAACUGGAGGACCGAACCGACUAAUGUUGAAAAAUUAGCGGAUGACCUGUGGCUGGGGGUGAAAGGCCAAUCAAACCGGGAGAUAGCUGGUUCUCCCCGAAAGCUAUUUAGGUAGCGCCUCGUGAAUUCAUCUCCGGGGGUAGAGCACUGUUUCGGCUAGGGGGCCAUCCCGGCUUACCAACCCGAUGCAAACUGCGAAUACCGGAGAAUGUUAUCACGGGAGACACACGGCGGGUGCUAACGUCCGUCGUGAAGAGGGAAACAACCCAGACCGCCAGCUAAGGUCCCAAAGUCAUGGUUAAGUGGGAAACGAUGUGGGAAGGCCCAGACAGCCAGGAUGUUGGCUUAGAAGCAGCCAUCAUUUAAAGAAAGCGUAAUAGCUCACUGGUCGAGUCGGCCUGCGCGGAAGAUGUAACGGGGCUAAACCAUGCACCGAAGCUGCGGCAGCGACACUGUGUGUUGUUGGGUAGGGGAGCGUUCUGUAAGCCUGUGAAGGUGUGUCGUGAGGCAUGCUGGAGGUAUCAGAAGUGCGAAUGCUGACAUAAGUAACGAUAAAGCGGGUGAAAAGCCCGCUCGCCGGAAGACCAAGGGUUCCUGUCCAACGUUAAUCGGGGCAGGGUGAGUCGACCCCUAAGGCGAGGCCGAAAGGCGUAGUCGAUGGGAAACGGGUUAAUAUUCCCGUACUUGGUGUUACUGCGAAGGGGGGACGGAGAAGGCUAUGUUGGCCGGGCGACGGUUGUCCCGGUUUAAGCGUGUAGGUGUGUGUUCCAGGUAAAUCCGGUUCACUUUAACACUGAGGCGUGACGACGAGGCACUACGGUGCUGAAGCAACAAAUGCCCUGCUUCCAGGAAAAGCCUCUAAGCAUCAGGUAACAUCAAAUCGUACCCCAAACCGACACAGGUGGUCAGGUAGAGAAUACCAAGGCGCUUGAGAGAACUCGGGUGAAGGAACUAGGCAAAAUGGUGCCGUAACUUCGGGAGAAGGCACGCUGACACGUAGGUGAAGUGAUUUACUCAUGGAGCUGAAGUCAGUCGAAGAUACCAGCUGGCUGCAACUGUUUAUUAAAAACACAGCACUGUGCAAACACGAAAGUGGACGUAUACGGUGUGACGCCUGCCCGGUGCCGGAAGGUUAAUUGAUGGGGUCAGCGCAAGCGAAGCUCCUGAUCGAAGCCCCGGUAAACGGCGGCCGUAACUAUAACGGUCCUAAGGUAGCGAAAUUCCUUGUCGGGUAAGUUCCGACCUGCACGAAUGGCGUAAUGAUGGCCAGGCUGUCUCCACCCGAGACUCAGUGAAAUUGAACUCGCUGUGAAGAUGCAGUGUACCCGCGGCAAGACGGAAAGACCCCGUGAACCUUUACUAUAGCUUGACACUGAACAUUGAGCCUUGAUGUGUAG
rnacentral:rRNA from 1 species